CUGAGCAUGCGCAAAGACGUUGGCGCGGUGGGUGUGGCUCCCCUCUGGCCCAACCGCCGCCCUUCCUCCUCUCUUCCCGCGCCCCGCCCACUAGCGCAAAGUCUUAGACGCGCAUGCGUUACCGUGGCCCGGGAGGCGGAACUGCUGCAUCCGGGUACUCGGGAGCCUAUGCUGCGUGGUGAGGAGGCUUAUGUUCUCUUCAUUGAAAGCAGUAAGUCAUGUGGUGUCCAGUUUUUCCACCACUGAAAACUACGCCUUGGAACCAAUGUUGGAUUCUGAAAACAGCGGUGGUAGCAGAGCUCCUCUGAAUGCUCCUACUCCAUGCUUUUAAGGUCAACAGAGCUAUGUUCAGGAUACAGCCUGGAGCAGCUGAUUGCAAUGAAGACCCCAGCCCUAUCCGAGGAGUCACUUCCAAGACACAUGACAUCGUAGCUCAGGUGUAAACUCAGCUCUCUCCGACCAAGAGGAUCAGAGGAGCUUUCAACCAAGGAGGCUCAUCUAAAGAGUGAGCGGCAAAGAGGAAAAAGUGCAGAGUGAUUGUGACACAGAAGAAGACCUAUCCAUUGACCUUACAUCACAGACGAGUUGACAUCAGACAUCUCUGUUGCUAGAGCUGCUGUAGAAUGGUUGCGAAUAGUCACCAGUGCAGCAUUCAAGGUAAGUAACAUGAAGAUCAAUAAACUCCAGUCUGAUGUGACAUUCCUGUCUUCUAGUAUGUCCCAAGGAACUCCUGCCAUUGGUUCAGCCAUCACCCAUGGGGGCUCAUGCCUCCACUGCCUACAAUUACUGAGCCACGCUAUGGCUAAGCUGUUACUCCUACAGCUCCUCCUGAUGACGUGUCUCAGGUUGGUAGCUCUGGCCUGGAAAUAUCACACUUAUAAUGCUAUGUAAGAGGCACCCCUCGAUAUAUCCAGCUUAUAUCUGUUUCCUGCCGUGAAGACUUACCACGUGAGGAUGUUAUCUGUGACAUCACCACGGAAGCUUCUGCCUCUGUCCCCAUGGCAGCCGCCCUAGAGAGGUGUGAGGGAUUCUGUACUGUCAUUUGGCUUUGAAGAAGCCAGGAAAGCAAGUGAACAGCACACAGAUCCAGAUGUGUAUCUGCCAAUAUCAUUCCCAAUAACCCACAAAGGUGCAAUUACUGGUGGUGUUAUUACACUAUAAGGACUGAUGGGUGCCUCUGCCUAGCUAAGGAUGUAACAUUUGUGUCCCUGCCUAAUGGCCGCCUAUAUCACUCAUUUGAGAGUUACUCCAUUCCACACAGCAAUAUAACUCUUCAGUGCACACCUUGCUCACCAGGGUGCUGCUACUUAAUCAGACAAGCUGUCUCAGCCAUUCUCCCCUGAAUGGCAGAGGAACCAUAAUUAACCAUAUGUGGAUUAUGUUACAUGACCUUCACAAGGAAUUUGACUUCAACAAUGGUACAUCAUGGGAGGCAAAUUAACUAGAGAAUGUCAACUGGUCCAGAAUGGAAAGAGGCAAAGUACUGCACAAGGCUACCCUAUCCAUGCUGUAAAAGACUUCCUUUGCAAAGGUUACAUAUCACGCAAUCUACUGUAUGCCUGCUCCCCCAGGUCCUUUCACAGCCUUUACGUGACCGUGCUCGAUUUUUGCGACCUUGGCUCAACAACCAAUCCCAGCUACUGUCUCAGGAGACUCAGCACUUGUCUGGCCCUGUGUAAAGAUGAACUAUUCUGUCUUCAACCCAACAACAACUGACCUUUACUUCAAGGUACAGUGCAGUGAAGCCAUGAUGCUUUACCAGUGGAACAGGAUCUUUUACAGCGCUUUGCCUUCCAGAGACAAAGGAUGACACAUACCAAGCAGUCUGGCCAAUAAAACACACGUUCUUGGGGUAGUCACCCCAGCCAUUGCCCCCGUUUUCAACAACCAUUUCAUCAAAGCACAUUAAUGGUGCAGAGUCCAAUGCGGGGUUGAACUCAGGACCCUGAGAUCAAGACCUGAACUGAGAUGCUGAGAUCAAGAGUCAGAUGCUCAACUGACUGAGCCACCCAGUCGCCCCUCUAUUGUUUAAAACUGAAAUACGGUUUUAUUUUAUAGAUUUUUUUCCUCAUAUAGUACAUAAAAUAAUGAAUUUGAUGCCACUCCCCAAAACAUGGGGAAGGGUGUACCUUCCUUAUUAUCCUUCACAUUCUAAAGUGAUUAAUAUCUUCACUCAUGGUGAUUGAUUUCAGACUAGGUAGUGUAAACAACAGAAAUUUAUUUUCUUCCACAGCUUUGGAGGCUGGAAGUUCAAGUGCAAGGUGCUGGCAGGGCUAGUUUCUGGUGAGGCCUCUCUUUCCUAGCUUGCAGAUGGUUAGCUUGUCACUGCGUGCUCACGUGGCUUUUUCUGUGAGCAUGUGUGCCCCGGGUGUCUCUUCCUCUUCUUAUAAGGACACCAAGUCCUAUUGGAUGGGGGCCCCACACAUGUUACCUCAUUGAACCUUAAUGACUCCUUUAAAGGCCUUAUCUUCAAAUAUUCAGGUUGGGGCUCCAACAUAUGAAUUGGGAGAGGGGGACACAAUUUAGUCCAUAACGGAUUUGGUAGAAAGAUAAUUUUAAUUUGUGGUUAUUGUCUUUGUAUAUAAACUUUCUCAGUAUUUCUCUGCCUUUCAAAUACGCUAUCAUAAAGACUGAGAAAAUGUGAUUCCUUAUUUCCCACAUUGCCAUUCCAUCUCAGUUUAUUAUAAUAAAGGUCUAUUCAGUGCUCAGUGUAUUCCAGGAACUGCCCCAGAUUCUGGGACAUAUCCAUGAAAGAACCAAUGCCCCUGUUCUUAGCUCAUAAUGUGACCAGACCUUUAGAAAUUCAGAAAAUUGCUACCUUCAAAGACAUCUAGCAGUUCAGGAGUCCCAGAUUGUGAACUUUUUAAAUUAAUUUUUUAAUGUUU